CCAGGUAUUGCAGAACUUUUAGAGUUGUUUCAGAACCUAGUGCUGUUUUGUGGGCUUAUUCUUUAUAUGUUUAAUCACAGAGCAACUACAAAUUUAUCCUGCCAGGUACUCUGAUAGUGGAGGAGCUAUGAUACUAAUACUGUUCCAUUCUUGCUGUUUACAUGCAUAUCGGAUAUACAAAGAACCCAAAGUAUGGACUGCUGCUCGGUAUUUUCCUUUGUUUAUGUUUGGCAGGACUGGUCAAACAGGAACCCCUAAGCCACCAUUCUGAUUAUCACUACUUCUCCCUAGAAUUUCUCAUAUUUUAUUUAGGAUAGGAGGAGUAAGCUAAAGUUUUAGAUGGAAACUGGGGAGAUCCAAGUUCUGCAACACUUUUGUGCAUACUAGAAUAAUCAAACAAAAAAGCAUACAAUUACAAGCUAGAUCAAGAUUAACAAACAUCUGUCACCUGGCAACCCAACCAGAAAGCAUGCAGUUGUUCACUGUUAAAGGCCACCUGAGGAGCCUGAUCCUGGAACAGAUGGUAUUGGAGAAGUCUCAAAUCAAUCCAACUUUAGCCUCUUGUUACUAAGACUAGCCAGACAAAUGGGUCUCCUUGAGCCCAGCUAAACUGUUGUUACUGGAAUCUGUGAAAACAUUUAACAGUCUCUAAAGUUGAUGAAGUCCUGCUCUUCCACUGGCAAGUUUACCAUGGACAAAAAAGGGCCAUUUUUCAGGCUUUCUGUGCCAGCACUUCAGAGUCUAACCUGCUCGUCCGGACACUCCUACUGCAGCAAGAUACUGUAUUCAGCAGGCCUCUUCCAACCCUGCCUGGCAAGGGAUUUAACAACAUUAAAUGUGACAACAGGAGAGAUUUUGCGUCCAGCUAACCACUUCUAGUCCAUGAGUACACCUCUCCCACAGAGCUAUGCUUGCUAGAGAACAGCAGCAGCCUCGUGACCCCGAGUACAGCUCUGAAGUGUUUGUGCAAUCAAAUAUGAAACCACAAAGCUCUGCUGUAGUGUCUUUGCCUUUAAGAAGAGUGAAAGGCUGGCAGUGAAAAACAGUGACAUCAUGUCAGCCUACAUGGUCUUCCUGUAGGUUUUGCACAUUAUAUAUAGAUGUUGGCUUUGCCUCUAGUUGUUUGAGUUAUUUUUAAAAGGCACAAGACCCUUCCUUGAAAGAGUAAAGAAGUAAACUCUGAGACUGUUGUGGUUAAAAUUGUGGUUAAGUUCAGAUCCUCUUUUAAGCUUUUACAUCACAGUGAAUUGUUCAUUAGCUAGAGAUUAGUACAUCAAUAUGCAAGAGCACCAUCCAGCAAAGGAAACUGUUUCACUUUGCUUUGUUCUCUUCAGUCAAAAAUACUAUCGUGAAGUAUUAUUUCCA
rnacentral:lncRNA from 1 species